rnacentral:rRNA from 1 species
AUUGAACGCUGGCGGCAUGCCUUACACAUGCAAGUCGAACGGCAGCACGGGUGCUUGCACCUGGUGGCGAGUGGCGAACGGGUGAGUAAUACAUCGGAACAUGUCCUGUAGCGGGGGAUAGCCCGGCGAAAGCCGGAUUAAUACCGCCUACGAUCUACGGAUGAAAGCGGGGGACCUUCGGGCCUCGCGCUAUAGGGUUGGCCGAUGGCUGAUUAGCUAGUUGGUGGGGUAAAGGCCUACCAAGGCGACGAUCAGUAGCUGGUCUGAGAGGACGACCAGCCACACUGGGACUGAGACACGGCCCAGACUCCUACGGGAGGCAGCAGUGGGGAAUUUUGGACAAUGGGCGAAAGCCUGAUCCAGCAAUGCCGCGUGUGUGAAGAAGGCCUUCGGGUUGUAAAGCACUUUUGUCCGGAAAGAAAUCCUUGGCCCUAAUACGGUCGGGGGAUGACGGUACCGGAAGAAUAAGCACCGGCUAACUACGUG